GAAAUGCGAUAAGUAAUGUGAAUUGCAGAAUUCAGUGAAUCAUCGAAUCUUUGAACGCACAUUGCGCUCGCCAGUAUUCUGGCGAGCAUGCCUGUUCGAGCGUCAUUUCAACCAUCAAGCUCUGCUUGCGUUGGGGAUCCGCGGCUGCCCGCGGUCCCUCAAAAACAGUGGCGGGCUCGCUAGUCACACCGAGCGUAGUAACUCUACAUCGCUAUGGUCGUGCGGCGGGUUCUUGCCGUAAAACCCCCAAUUUCUAAGGUUGACCUCGGAUCAGGUAGGAAUACCCGCUGAACUUAAGC
rnacentral:misc_RNA from 1 species